AACGCAGCGAAGGGCGAUACGUAAUGUGAAUUGCAGAAUUCAGUGAAUCAUCGAAUCUUUGAACGCACCUUGCGCCCCUUGGCAUUCCGAGGGGCACACCCGUUUGAGUGUCGUGAAAUCCUCAAAACCCCCCUUUUCUUUCAUCGGAACGGGGAUUUUUGGACUUGGAGGUUCAAUGCUUGCUUUUGCUUUCAAAGGCGAGCUCCUCUUAAAUGAAUCAGUGGGGUCCGCUUUGCUGAUCCUUGACGUGAUAAUAUGUUCUACGUUUUGGAUCUGGCGCUGUUUUUCUCCGCUCCUAAUCGUCUCAUUGACAAUGAUGGUGCUUCGGUCCCCCUGCCAUCUACGUUGGCGGGAGGCUGGACCCACAAAAAUAAAACCUUGACCUCAAAUCGGGUGAGACUACCCGCUGAACUUAA
rnacentral:rRNA from 1 species